rnacentral:rRNA from 1 species
AACGAACGCUGGCGGCAUGCCUAACACAUGCAAGUCGAACGAGACCUUCGGGUCUAGUGGCGCACGGGUGCGUAACGCGUGGGAAUCUACCCUCAGGUUCGGAAUAACUCAGAGAAAUUUGAGCUAAUACCGGAUGAUGACGUAAGUCCAAAGAUUUAUCGCCUGAGGAUGAGCCCGCUUAGGAUUAGGUAGUUGGUGAGGUAAAGGCUCACCAAGCCGACGAUCCUUAGCUGGUCUGAGAGGAUGAUCAGCCACACUGGGACUGAGACACGGCCCAGACUCCUACGGGGGGCAGCAGUGGAGAAUAUUGGACAAUGGGCGAAAGCCUGAUACCGCAGUGCCGGGUGAGUGAUGAAGGCCUUAGGGUUGUAAAGCUCUUUUACCCGGGAUGAUAAUGACAGUACCGGGAGAAUAAGCUCCGGCUAACUCCGUG